rnacentral:rRNA from 1 species
UUAAAUUAAUAAGGGCGUACGUGUGGAUCACUUGGCACUAGAAGCUGAUGAAGGACGUGACAAACUACGAAAUGCCUCGGGGAGCUGUAAGUAAGCUUCGAUCCGGGGAUAUCCGAAUGGGGGAACCCACUUGUGGUCAUGCGCAAGUAUCAAUUAGUGAACACAUAGCUAAACUGAGAGCAACCCGCUGAACUGAAACAUCUUAGUAAGCGGAGGAAAAGAAAGAAAAAUCGAUUUCCCAAGUAGUGGCGAGCGAAAAGGAAAUAGCCCAAACCAGUCUAUGGACUGGGGUUGUAGGACCAUUAUAUAAGAGUUACAAAACUAUAUCAUAGUUGAAUUAGCUGGGAAGCUAAACCGUAGAAAGUGAUAGUCUUGUAAGCAAAAUGAUGUAGACUCUUUAUGGUAUCCUGAGUACGGCGGAGCACGUGAAAUUCCGUCGGAAUCCGCGGGGACCAUCCCGCAAGGCUAAAUACUCUCUAGUGACCGAUAGUGAACAAGUACCGUGAGGGAAAGUUGAAAAGAACCCCGGGAGGGGAGUGAAAUAGACAGUGAAACCGUAUGCUUACAAAAAGUUAGAGCCCGUUAAUGGGUGAUAGCGUGCCUUUUGCAGAAUGAACCGGCGAGUUAUUGUAUUAUGCAAGGUUAAGUUGAAUAGACGGAGCCGAAGCGAAAGCGAGUCUUAAUAGGGCGAUAUAGUAUGAUGUAAUAGACCCGAAACCGAGUGAUCUAGCCAUGAGCAGGUUGAAGGUAAGGUAACACUUACUGGAGGACCGAACCGACGUACCCGGAAACGUGCGCGGAUGACUUGUGGCUAGCGGAGAAAUUCCAAUCGAACUCGGAUAUAGCUGGUUCUCCCCGAAAUAGGUUUACGCCUAGCCUCGUGGUAAAGCUUCUUGGAGGUAGAGCACUGAAUAGACGAUGGCGUCGUAUAGAUGUACUGAAUUUAAUCAAACUCCGAAUGCCAGGAAAGUAUACACGGGAGUCAGUGUAUGGGUGAUAACGUCCAUACGCGAGAGGAAAACAAUCCAGACCACCAGCUAAGGUCCCAAAUUUCAUGUUAAGUGGGAAAGGAUGUGGAGUUGUCUAAACAGCUAGGAGGUUGGCUUAGAAGCAGCCAUCCUUUAAAGAGUGCGUAAUAGCUCACUAGUCGAAUGACACUGCGCCGAAAAUGUACCGGGGCUAAACAUGAAACCGAAGCUGUGGAUUUUAUAGAUAAUAUAAAAUGGUAGGGGAGCGUUCUAAUUGCGACGAAGAUGGAUCGUGAGGACUGUUGGAGCGAUUAGAAGUGAGAAUGCCGGUGUGAGUAGCGCAAGAAGGGUGAGAAUCCCUUCCACCGUUUGCCUAAGGGUUCCUGGGGAAGGUUCGUCCUCCCAGGGUAAGUCGGGUCCUAAGACGAGGCCGAAAGGCGUAGCCGAUGGACAACAGGUUGAUAUUCCUGUACCACCUAUAUAACUGAUGGAGUGACGAAGGAGGCUAUAGAAAGCCAGUUAAUGGAUUCUGGUCUAAGCACAUAGGCGUACAUAUAGGCAAAUCCGUAUGUAAUGUAGCUGAAGUGUUAUGGUGAAGGUAAUAGCGAUAUUACUGAAAUUUCUAGACGCCAAACUUCCAAGAAAAGCUUCUAGGGUUAAUUAUAUAGGUGCCCGUACCCAGAACCGACACAGGUAGGCAAGGAGAGUAUCCUAAGGUGAGCGAGAGAACUAUGGUUAAGGAACUCGGCAAAAUGACCCCGUAACUUCGGGAGAAGGGGUGGUCUAGCGAUAGACCCGCAGUAAAGAGUCCCAGGCAACUGUUUACCAAAAACACAGCUCUCUGCUAAAUCGAAAGAUGAUGUAUAGGGGGUGACACUUGCCCAGUGCUGGAAGGUUAAGAGGAGAGGUUAGUAAUGACUUCGGUUAUAUUUACGAAGCUUCGAAUUGAAGCCCCAGUGAACGGCGGCCGUAACUAUAACGGUCCUAAGGUAGCGAAAUUCCUUGUCAGGUAAGUUCUGACCCGCACGAAAAGUGUAAUGAUCUGGGAACUGUCUCAACCAUAGACUCGGUGAAAUCUUAAUACCUGUGAAAAUGCAGGUUACCCGCGACAGGACGGAAAGACCCCAUGGAGCUUUACUGUAGCUUGAUAUUGGAUCUCGAUGUGUUAUGUAGAGGAUAGGUGGGAGACUAUGAUGUUAGGACGCUAGUUCUAACGGAGUCAACCUUGGAAUACCACCCUUAGCAUGUUGAGAUUCUAACCUCGACCCAUUAUCUGGGUCAGGGACAGUGUCUGGUGGGCAGUUUGACUGGGGCGGUCGCCUCCCAAAAAGUAACGGAGGCGCUCAAAGGUUCCCUCAGAAUGGUUGGAAAUCAUUCGAAGAGCGUAAUGGUAUAAGGGAGCUUUACUGCGAGACCUACAAGUCAAGCAGUUACGAAAGUAGGACAUAGUGGGCCGGCGAUUCAGAAUGGAAUGGUCGUCGCUUAACGGAUAAAAGUUACCCUGGGGAUAACAGGCUGAUACCACCCAAUAGUUCACAUAGACGGUGGUGAUUGGCACCUCGAUGUCGGCUCGUCACAUCCUGGAGCUGGAUUCGGUUCCAAGGGUUGGGCUGUUCGCCCAUUAAAGUGGCACGCGAGCUGGGUUCAGAACGUCGUGAGACAGUUCGGUCCCUAUCCGUCGUGGGCGCAGGAAAAUUGAGAAGAGCUAUCCUUAGUACGAGAGGACCGGGAUGGACAUACCUCUGGUGUAUCUGUUGUAACGCCAGUUGCAGUGCAGAGUAGCUAUGUAUGGAAUCGAUAACCGCUGAAAGCAUCUAAGCGGGAAGCGAACUUCAAGAUGAAUUUUCCCAUAUUUUUAUAAUAGUAAGAUCCCUGAAAGACUAUCAGGUUGAUAGGCUGGAGAUGGAAGUGUAGUGAUACAUUGAGUUGACCAGUACUAAUAGAUCGAGGAUUUAACCAU